rnacentral:rRNA from 1 species
GAGUUUGAUCUUGGCUCAGAACGAACGCUGGCGGCAGGCUUAACACAUGCAAGUCGCGCGAGAAAAGGGGGGCAACUCCCUGAGUAAAGCGGCGCACGGGUGAGUAACACGUAGGUAAUCUACCCUCGAGUCCAGGAUAACCUACCGAAAGGUGGGCUAAUACCGGAUAUGACCACGGGAGUCUCGGCUCCUGCGGUGAAAGGUGGCCUCUGCUUGCAAGCUACUGCUCGGAGAUGAGCCUGCGGGCCAUUAGCUAGUUGGUGAGGUAACGGCUCACCAAGGCGAUGAUGGCUAGCUGGUCUGAGAGGAUGGCCAGCCACACUGGGACUGAACACGGCCAGACUCUACGGGAGGCAGCAGUGGGGGAUAUUGCGCAAUGGGCGAAAGCCUGACGCAGCGACGCCGCGU